rnacentral:rRNA from 1 species
GACGAACGCUGGCGGCGUGCUUAACACAUGCAAGUCGAACGAAGUGGCGAACGGGUGAGUAACGGGUAAUCAACCUGCCCUUCAGAGGGGGAGAACAGUUGGAAACGACUGCUAAUACUGCUUACUGAGGGAGGGGAUUGCGUUUGCUUAGCUAGUUGGUUGGGUAACGGCCCACCAAGUCGAUGAUCAGUAGCCGGUCUGAGAGGGUGAACGGCCACAUUGGGACUGGGACACGGCCCAGACUCCUACGGGAGGCAGCAGUGGGGAAUCUUCCGCAAUGGGCGGAAGUCUGACGGAGCAACGCCGCGUGAGUGAUGACGGCCUUCGGGUUGUAAAGCUCUGUUAAUCGGGACGCGGUACCGGAAUAGAAAGCCACGGCUAACUACGUGCCAGCAGCCGCGGUAAUUC